rnacentral:lncRNA from 1 species
GCAGUCGACUUGCGCCAGCCCAGAGGCUGGGGAGGCGUCCGAGCCUCCGUCCCGCCUCGUCGUUGAAGAAGGUUAAGGACAAGCGCCAGCUCACCUGCGCUGGGGCAGGGAAGGGCAGAGUGGCCGAGCCCGGGAGGGCGCGACAGGGGCGAGGCGACCCCAGUCCAGAGGCUGACUUCCUCACCGCCCUGGGUCCCAAUCCUGAUCUGGGCUACCCUAUCUGUGCUUCUGGUGAGGUGGGCCCAGAACCAUCGUGUGAAUAAUGAUUGACCUCAGCUAGUGGUUCUCAUGGAGUGAUUGAUUUUGCUUCCCAGAGGACAUCAGCAAUGUCUGGAGACAUUUCCAGUUGUCACUACUUGAGAGGAAGCGUGAUCGGCCUCUAGAAGGGAGAGACCAGGGAUGCCGCUGCUCAAUAUCCUAUAAUGCACAGAACAGCUUCUACGACAAAGAGUUAUUCCACCAAAAAUGUCAGUAGUGCCAAGGUUGAGAGAACCUGCUCUAGGGUAAUCAGUGUGGUCCCAAUCUCCCUGUCAGUAACUGAUUCAACUCACAUAAUAAUCUUAUGGGAGUGUGAUGUAAUUCUAGCCAAUAAAAUGCAAUGGGAAGUUGGCCGAGAUACUUCUGAAAAAAUCUUCUCUUACCCCUAAAAAGAGACAUUCAUUUUCUGUUGAAAUGCAUUACUUUCCUAAAUAAAAUCAUAUUUACCAACAACGAGAAAAAGAGAAACAUGCAAGAAACCAUCUGUUUGCUGCUAGAUGCCAUUGUGUCUGCAAUGUGAUAUCUGGAACUAUGGCUGUCAUCCUGGAACCAUGAGAGGAGUUAGCUGAAGAAACAGGAGGAUGGCAAAGCGGAAGGAUGGAAGUUACCUGAGGCUGAGGACAUCAGUGCACCUCUGAUUUAACCAAUCCUUGAGACUUCUUGUUAUAUGAGAUAAUAAAUUCUAUUGCUAUUUAAGUCAUGUAUAGGGCUUUAAAACAUUUCAUAGCUGAAAACAUCCUGAUAUAUAUUUUAUAUUUUUAUUUGAUAUGUGGAAGAGAAAAUAAAAUAUGGGAGGAAAGACACUAACCUCCUUUGGGGGCAGGCUCUACAAUUGUCCAGUAAUAAAAUAAUUUUCUUUGCUGUG